AUUACAUGUUGUAAAUUUUCGAUAAAAUAUGGGUAGAAUUAUGAUAUCACCAUAUAAUAAGUGUUGUCCAAGGUACUGGUGCCAAAANACUCGGUAAGGCCANAAACGCAAACGUUAGUCGCAAUGACCAGGCGUAAAGGGUUCGUANGCACCUUAAAAAAUUUAUUUUUGUUUAGCUCUUUAAAUUAUUAUUUNAAAAUUUAAUUUUUAUUUUUUUAUGAUAAGUUAUUAUUUAUAUAUUUAUAAAAUAAUAUAUAAAAAAAUAAUUUAUUUGACUAUUUAAUAAUCUAAUGGAUAACAUAAAAUUUAUUAAUUUAGUUAUAAAAAUAAAAAAAAAAAUUUUUUAAAUUGACUCUUGUAAAAUUUUUAUUUUNGAGUUCAUUAAUAUUAAUAGUACUAAUUUAAUGUUUAAUUAAAUAUUAGAAUAGAAAUAUUCNAUWWAAAAAUAUAUAAUUAAAAAUAAUAAUUUAAUAAUAAAAAUANAUUGUAUAUAAGCUAGAAUCAGAUGGAGGAUAUGCUAAAUCAUGCUNACAGUAGGGUUGAAAUACCAAGAUAGUAGGUGGAUAUANUCAGUGGUGAAAGCUUUUUAUNUAUUAAUGAUUGACGCUGAGGAACGAAGGUGUGAAUAGGAAACAGGAUUAGAGACCCAAUUACCCACACUGUCAACGAUGAAUGGUAGAUUAUUAAUUUUUAUAAAAAUUAAUAUCGAUGCUAACGCGAUAACCAUUCCGCCUUGAGAGUACGGUCGCAAGACUGAAANNAAAAAAAUUAGUC
rnacentral:rRNA from 1 species